AUGCUUCUCCCCGCCGAUCAAGCAGCGACGCUGCUCGUGAUAGGCUUAGCUUUAAGCCGCUAUCGUUCGGUUCGAAUAAGUAAAGUCCCCUCGGUCGGUUCGCUCAGGGGCGCGUCAGUACGGCUCCUUCCCUUCCACUGCAUAGCUGCGCUAGCAGGUACUAUGAGCCCUCUGUCCCACGUAUCUAACCAGCUCGCGUGGUUCACCGGUUCCACCGAAAACUCUCAUUUGUUGAAGCGGAGCAUAGUGCGCUUUAGGCGCCGAGCGAGAAAGGUAUCUUUCUUCUUUCGUUUCGGUUUAUUCACUGAUCUGAAACUUAGCACUAGUUUUCUUAUUGAUUCCAGGGGCGGCGGCGUUCUUGAAUGA